GAAGAAGCUACCCCUCAGUAAGGCUGACUCAUCAGGCAAAUGAGCAACCUGACUUGCUACUUGAGAAUUGAGUCUGUAAAGCUGAGAACUCAGAUCUUCACUCCACAGAUUAUGCUUUCAUUCAGACAAUUUUACCUGCUAUUUUUCCUUCCCCAGAAGGCUUCUAGCACCUGCAUCACAUUUCUUCUACUUUCAAUGGCAGCAGGAAUACAGCCUAUAUAAUAUUCUAUGAAAAGGUUGUCAAACACCACCCAGCCCUCAGGAUGUGACACACAGAGGCAUCCAAGCACAGUAGAGGUGGCUGUCAUAACCUUGGACAACAGGCUGUUCCCAUCCAAUCGCAUCAGCCAGCUUGCCUAUGCAGCAGUAUCAUCGGCAACAUGUGUGCAUGUGAGAAGGAGGGGGAGAGAGAGAGAGAGAGAGAAGAAAAAGGAGGAGGCUGUCUGCCCACAUAAGUCUAAUAUCUUCAGGAUGAUCACUCAGAAACCACCAGGACAAAUUAAAAAUGUUUCUGGACUAAUGGAUAGAAAUGGCUGUGACUGA
rnacentral:lncRNA from 1 species